UCACUGGUAGUUUAACGGCAGAAUGCUUUCGCUCCAGAAGGCGGCGAUCGGUUCGACUCCGGUCUCGGUGAUA
rnacentral:tRNA from 1 species